UAGGGAAUCUUCCGCAAUGGGCGAAAGCUUGACGGAGCAACGCCGCGUGAGUGAUGAAGGUCUUCGGAUCGUAAAACUCUGUUAUUAGGGAAGAACAAAUGUGUAAGUAACUAUGCACGUCUUGACGGUACCUAAUCAGAAAGCCACGGCUAACUACGUGCCAGCAGCCGCGGUAAUACGUAGGUGGCAAGCGUUAUCCGGAAUUAUUGGGCGUAAAGCGCGCGUAGGCGGUUUUUUAAGUCUGAUGUGAAAGCCCACGGCUCAACCGUGGAGGGUCAUUGGAAACUGGAAAACUUGAGUGCAGAAGAGGAAAGUGGAAUUCCAUGUGUAGCGGUGAAAUGCGCAGAGAUAUGGAGGAACACCAGUGGCGAAGGCGACUUUCUGGUCUGUAACUGACGCUGAUGUGCGAAAGCGUGUGGAUCAAACAGG
rnacentral:rRNA from 1 species